ensembl:lncRNA novel transcript
GAAAAUGGCGGAUGAGGCCGGGCGCGGUGGCUCACGCCUGUGGUCCCAGCACUUUGGGAGGCCGAGGCGGGCGGAUCACAAGGUCAGGAAAUCGAGACCAUCCUGGCGAACACUGUGAAACCCCGUCUCUUCUAAAAAUACAAAAAAAAAUUAGCCAGGCGUGGUGGCGGGCGCUUGUAGUCCCAGCUACUCAGGAUGCUGAGGCAGGAGAAUGGCGUGAACCCGGGAGGCGCAGCUUGCAGCGAGCCAAGAUGGCGCCGCUGCACUCCAGCCUGGGCAGCAGAGCGAGACUCCAUCUCAAAAAAAAAAAAAAAAAAAAAGAAAAGAAAAGAAACUGGCGGACAAAGGAAGAGAUCCUCCUUCAGGCAGGGUAGGGAAGAAGGGCACUCGGUGACCAGAGACCUUUUCCAGGACCAUGUCUUUGAAGCAAAUCUCAGCUCUUGUCUUCCGGAAGCGAUGGAGACAGAAUCCAGAAGCCUGAGACUCUCUCCUUUCCUGGCUUUGAUGAAGCAAGCUGCCACACUGGAGAGGCCUACAUGAUAAGGACCUGAAGGUGGCCUCCAGCUAGCUCCAGCCAACAGUUGGCAAGGAAUUGAGGACCUGAGUCCAAUAGACCUUGAGGAACUGAAUCCUGCAACAGCUACACAAGUGAGCAUGGCAGUGUAUCCUUCCCCAGUAAAGCCUUCAGAUGAGACCCCAGCCCCAGCUGACACCUUGAUUGAAGCCUUGUGAGAGACCCUGAAGCAGAGAAACCAGCUAGGCCUUGCCUGGAUUCCUGAUCCACAAACUGCUUUUGUGAUGCCCUAUAAUUACAUGAACUCUACUAAAAAGAGGGAUACUGGAAAGAAGAAUAAUGUUGAGACACCUUUGCAGAAGAAAAAACAACUUCCUCUCUUCCUCUACUUCACUCUGGCAAGUUCUCCAACCUGACAAGCCAGUAGGGAGUGCCGGAAUGUCAUGGCUGAGAAAAGAGAUGUUAACAGGCUGUAUGAUGUUGGCCACAGAGUGCCCCCCUAAAGAGGCCUCAGAAGAAUGAAGGGAGUGCCGGAAUGUCAUGGCUGAGAAAAGAGAUGUUAACAGGCUGUAUGAUGUUGGCCACAGAGUGCCCCCCUAAAGAGGCCUCAGAAGAAUGAAGGGUAAGAAGCUCCUCCAUGAAAUCAGAUGGCACAAAAUUAGAGGAAAAAGAGUCCUUGGCAUGAGGCUGCCACCAGGAGAAUUCUGAAGAUGCAGGGCAUGAAUGGUCAAUGCCUUUCGUUGUUGGGGCAGAGGUGGAUGACCCACCAGAGCCACCUAGAGAUAACAUUUCCGGAAAAGUCUUCAAGACGGUGAGAUUUGAUUUAGACUGAGUCACAGUGCAAUCUUCCGGUGGUAAAGCAGAUGGGGUUGGUGGUCCAUGAUGACGAGCACAUGAAUCAGUGCGAUUCACGGCCUGGGAAAUAUCUUGGCAUAGGGUGGAGCCAAAUGAAAAGAUGGUGUUCAGAGACAAACUGGCCUCAGGUUGGAGGCUGGGCUCCACUCUCUCAAUGUGAUGUGGUGGGAGAAGGGGAAAGGGAAGCUGUUGGGGUGGGGAAUGGUCUAUGGGGAACUUGGAAUCCAAGGGAGAAACAGGCUGUGGUGGCAGAGGGUCCCUCAGUGGUGAGGGUGAAAAUAAGUCAGCUAAGGUGGUGAUCAGGUCAGGUGAGAGAAUUAAGGGGGGUGGUGGAGAGGGCUUAGGCCGAGAGGACAAUAUUAGGUCUUCUGGAGUGGUUGCUGAGGGGGUGGAAGCCAGAGUGAACGAUGACUCAGCCCCAGAAGCUGAAGAAGCCAAAGGGGACACAGAGGGAGCAGCAUCUUUCAGGGACUCCCAAGACAGCAGUCGCUGGAUAUCAGCAGUUGCUCUGUUACACACCCGACAGACAGGGUCUGGGCAUAACAGUCGACGAAAGAGGGUGGUAUCAUGAUGCUGGCCCAGGGGACUGCAGGAAACAGGAGGUCCAAAGCUGCAGCCAGGAUCAGAACAAGGAAAUGAGGAUCUGUUAGCCUGGCAGGGGUGGGGCCCCCUGAAUCCUGCUUCACAUUACCCCCCAUCCAUGAGCUCACCGUAUGUGAGGUCAUAUGACCUCACUAUAGCCUCUCCUCAAAGCAUUCAUUCACAUAUCCGUUCCUAUGGCUACCCACUCCCAAAACUACAGCAGGCUACAAGGAAUCCCUGAAAUGAAUAGAACAUGC